UAAGCUUGACAUCCCUCGGACCGGCAAUUAAUCUUUCCUUUCCUUCGGGACUGCGGUGACAGGUGUUGCAUGGUUGUCGUCAGCUCGUGUCGUGAGAUGUUGGGUUAAGUCCCGCAACGAGCGCAACCCUUGUCUUUAGUUGCCAGCAUUCAGUUGGGCACUCUAGAGAGACUGCCAGGGAUAACCUGGAGGAAGGUGGGGAUGACGUCAAAUCAUCAUGCCCCUUAUGCUUAGGGCUACACACGUGCUACAAUGGGUGGUACAGAGGGUUGCCAAACCGUGAGGUGGAGCUAAUCCCUUAAAGCCAUUCUCAGUUCGGAUGGUAGGCUGAAACUCGCCUACAGGAGGCUGGAGUUACUAGUAAUCGCAGAUCAGAAUGCUGCGGUGAAUGCGGUCCCGGGUC
rnacentral:rRNA from 1 species